UAUAGGUUUGGUCCCAGCCUUCCUAUUAACCCUUAAUAGACUUACACAUGCAAGCAUCCACGCCCCAGUGAGAAUGCCCUCCAAGUUAAUAAGACUAAGAGGAGCUGGUAUCAAGCACACAUCCGUAGCUCAUGACACCUUGCUUAGCCACACCCCCACGGGAGACAGCAGUGAUAAAAAUUAAGCCAUAAACGAAAGUUUGACUAAGCCAUAUUAAUCAGGGUUGGUAAAUUUCGUGCCAGCCACCGCGGUCAUACGACUAACCCAAGUUAAUAGGCGUACGGCGUAAAGCGUGUUAAAGCACUAUUCCAAAUAAAGCUAAAUUUCAAUUAAGCUGUAAAAAGCCAUAAUUGCAACAAAAAUAAAUAACGAAAGUAACUUUACAGCUGCUGAAACACGAUAGCUAGGACCCAAACUGGGAUUAGAUACCCCACUAUGCCUAGCCCUAAACACAAAUAGUUCCACAAACAAAACUAUUCGCCAGAGUACUACCGGCAAUAGCUUAAAACUCAAAGGACUUGGCGGUGCUUUAUACCCUUCUAGAGGAGCCUGUUCUAUAAUCGAUAAACCCCGAUAAACCUCACCAUUCCUCGCUAAUACAGUCUAUAUACCGCCAUCUUCAGCAAACCCUAAAAAAGGAAUAAAAGUAAGCGCAAUCAUAACACAUAAAAACGUUAGGUCAAGGUGUAACCUAUGGAAUGGAAAGAAAUGGGCUACAUUUUCUAACCUAAGAAUAAUUUAUACAUACGAAAGUUAUUAUGAAAUUAAUAACCAAAGGAGGAUUUAGCAGUAAACCAAGAAUAGAGUGCUUAGUUGAAUUAGGCCAUGAAGCACGCACACACCGCCCGUCACCCUCCUCAAGUAAGUACGAUAUACUCAAAUUUAUUAAUACAUAUAUUAAUCAUAUGAGAGGAGACAAGUCGUAACAAGGUAAGCAUACUGGAAAGUGUGCUUGGAUAAAU
rnacentral:ncRNA from 1 species